UCAUUGGGCGUAAAGCGCCUGUAGGUUGUUUAAUAAGUCUGUUGUUAAAGACUAGGGCUUAACCCUAGAAAAGCAAUGGAAACUACUAGACUAGAGUAUGGCAGGGGUAGAGGGAAUUUCUAGUGUAGCGGUGAAAUGCGUAGAUAUUAGAAAGAACACCGGUGGCGAAAGCGCUCUACUGGACCAUUACUGACACUCAGAGGCGAAAGCUAGGGUAGCAAAAGGGAUUAGAUACCCCUGUAGUCCUAGCCGUAAACGAUGGAUACUAGAUGUUGUGCAUUACGUACAGUAUCGUAGCUAACGCGUUAAGUAUCCCGCCUGGGGAGUACGCUCGCAAGGGUGAAACUCAAAGGAAUUGACGGGGGCCCGCACAAGCGGUGGAGCAUGUGGUUUAAUUCGAUGCAACGCGAAGAACCUUACCAGGACUUGACAUACUACGAAUUCUUUUGAGAAAAAGAAGUGCCUUCGGGAAUGUAGAUACAGGUGGUGCAUGGCUGUCGUCAGCUCGUGUCGUGAGAUGUUGGGUUAAGUCCCGCAACGAGCGCAACCCUUAUUUUUAGUUACCAAUUCGUUGGGUUCUCUAGAAAGACUGCCGGUGACAAACCGGAGGAAGGUGAGGAUGACGUCAAGUCAGCAUGCCCCUUAUGUCCUGGGCUACACACGUGCUACAAUGGUUAAGACAAAGAGUCGCGAGCUCGCAAGAGUCAGCUAAUCUCAUAAACUUAGCCCAAGUUCAGAUUGUAGGCUGCAACUC
rnacentral:rRNA from 1 species